rnacentral:sRNA from 3 species
UGCGAAUGGUGCAAAAUACGCGCCCUGCAAAAUGAAAAAAUAACCGACGCUACCCGCGCCGGUUAUUUUUUUGC